rnacentral:rRNA from 1 species
GAAAUCAGUUCAGCACUAAGUCACUUUGUCUAUAUGGCAAAUGUGAGAUGCAGUGUAUGGAACAUCAAUAUUCUAGUAUGAGAAAUUAACGAUUUAAGUCCUUCUUAAAUGAGGCCAUUUACCCAUAGAGGGUGCCAGGCCCGUAUAACGUUAAUGAUUAUUAGAUGGUGUUUCCAAAGAGUCGUGUUGCUUGAUAGUGCAGCACUAAGUGGGUGGUAAACUCCAUCUAAAACUAAAUAUAACCAUGAGACCGAUAGUAAACAAGUACCGUGAGGGAAAGUUGAAAAGAACUCUGAAUAGAGAGUUAAAUAGUACGUGAAACUGCUUAGAGGUUAAGCCCGAUGAACCUGAAUAUCCGUUAUGGAAAAUUCAUCAUUAGAGUUGUAAUAUUUAAACAAUAUUAUAAUAAUAGUGUGCAUUUUUUCCAUAUAAGGACAUUGUAAUCUAUUAGUAUCAAUAAUUUAUCAAAAAAUUUUAGAAAAUAGCUUAUUUAAAUUAAAGUGCUUGCAUUUUAACAUAAAAUAAAUUUCCUAAAUUUGAUAAAGUGCUGAUAGAUUUAUAUGAAUACAGUGCGUUAAUUUUUCGGAAUUAUAUAAUGGCAUGAUUAUCAUUGAUUUUUAUGUUUAUUAUAUGCACUUGUAUGAUAACAAUGCGAAAGA